UCUUAUGAAUGAGCAAAGAAAGUGAUUUCUUGGAAUGGAAUCUAGUCGUGGUGAAGAUGCUGUGAA
rnacentral:pre_miRNA from 1 species